rnacentral:rRNA from 1 species
UACGGAGGGUGCAAGCGUUAUCCGGAUUCACUGGGUUUAAAGGGUGCGUAGGCGGCUUUAUAAGUCAUUGGUGAAAGCUCGCAGCUUAACUGUGAAACUGCCAUUGAAACUGUUUAGCUUGAAUGUGGUUGAAGUGGGCGGAAUACAACAUGUAGCGGUGAAAUGCUUAGAUAUGUUUUAGAACACCGAUUGCGAAGGCAGCUCACUAAGCCAAUAUUGACGCUGAGGCACGAAAGCGUGGGUAGCAAACAGG